rnacentral:rRNA from 1 species
AGAAGUAAAAGUCGUAACAAGGUUUCCGUAGGUGAACCGCGGAAGGAUCAUUAUUGAAUGAACUUGGUGUGGUUGUCGCUGGUCUUUCGGGGCAUGUGCACGCCCACCAUCCUCAUCUCUCCACCUGUGCACCUCUUGUAGACUUGGAUUGACUUUCCGAGGCAACUCGGUCGGGAGGAUUGCGGCCAGCUGGCUUUCUUUGCAUUUCCGGUCUACGUUUUUCAUAUACCCCAUGUAUGUAACAGAAUGUAAAUUGGGCCUUGUGCCUAUAAACUUUAUACAACUUUCAGCAACGGAUCUCUUGGCUCUCGCAUCGAUGAAGAACGCAGCGAAAUGCGAUAAGUAAUGUGAAUUGCAGAAUUCAGUGAAUCAUCGAAUCUUUGAACGCACCUUGCGCUCCUUGGUAUUCCGAGGAGCAUGCCUGUUUGAGUGUCAUUAAAUUCUCAACCUUUAUCAUUUUGUUGAUAAUGGCUUGGAUAUGGGGGUUAUUUUGCUGGCUUCUUUACGAUGGUCAGCUCCCCUUAAAUGCAUUAGCCGGUGCCCCGCGUGGACUGUCUAUUGGUGUGAUAAUUAUCUACGCCGUGGACAUCUGCAAUCAUAUGGGUUUGCACUGCUUCCAACGUCURUUAAUCAGACAAUACAUGAAAUUYGACCUCAAAUCGGUAAGACUACCCGCUGAACUUACAUAUCAU